GACGUAGGGGGCGAGCGUUGUCCGGAUUUAUUGGGCGUAAAGCGUGCGUAGGCGGCUGCGCAAGUCGGUUGUGAAACCCCGGGGCUCAACCCCGGAACUGCAUCCGAUACUGCGUGGCUAGAGGUAGGUAGGGGAGAUCGGAAUUCCUGGUGUAGCGGUGAAAUGCGCAGAUAUCAGGAGGAACACCGGUGGCGAAGGCGGCUCUCUGGACCGAUACUGACGCUGAGGCGCGAAAGCGUGGGGAGCAAACAGG
rnacentral:rRNA from 1 species